GCCUGACUGACUCAGUCAGUAGAGGGCAUGACUCAUGAUCUUGGGGUUGUGAGUUCCAGGCUCAUGUUGGGUG
rnacentral:tRNA from 1 species